rnacentral:rRNA from 2 species
CAAUAAGCGGAGGAAAAGAAACCAACAGGGAUUGCCCUAGUAACGGCGAGCGAAGCGGCAACAGCUCAAAUUUGAAAUCUGGCUACUUUGUAGUCCGAGUUGUAAUUUGUAGAGGAUGCUUUUGGUGAGGUGCCUUCCGAGUUCCCUGGAACGGGACGCCAGAGAGGGUGAGAGCCCCGUACGGUUGGAUACCAAACCUUUGUAUAGCUCCUUCAACGAGUCGAGUAGUUUGGGAAUGCUGCUCUAAAUGGGAGGUAUAUCUCUUCUAAAGCUAAAUAUAGGCUAGAGACCGAUAGCGCACAAGUAGAGUGAUCGAAAGAUGAAAAGCACUUUGAAAAGAGAGUUAAACAGCACGUGAAAUUGUUGAAAGGGAAGCGCCUAUGACCAGACUUGUUUCUUUCAGUUUUGUUAGUUCUCGGACUGAUUUACUCUGUUAGUACAGGCCAGCAUCAGUUUGUUGUCGGGGAGAAAGGCUUAGGGAAUGUGGCUCCUUCGGGAGUGUUAUAGCCCUUUGCAUAAUACCCUUCGGCAGACUGAGG